UACGAAGGGGGCUAGCGUUGCUCGGAAUCACUGGGCGUAAAGCGCACGUAGGCGGCUUUCUAAGUCAGGGGUGAAAUCCUGGAGCUCAACUCCAGAACUGCCCUUUGAUACUGGAGAGCUUGAGUCCGGAAGAGGUGAGUGGAACUCCGAGUGUAGAGGUGAAAUUCGUAGAUAUUCGGAAGAACACCAGUGGCGAAGGCGGCUCACUGGUCCGGUACUGGACGCUGAUGUGCGAAAGCGUGGGGAGCGAACAGG
rnacentral:rRNA from 1 species